GACGAACGCUGGCGGCGUGCUUAAUACAUGCAAGUCGAACGGAAAGGCCCUGCUUUUGUGGGGUGCUCGAGUGGCGAACGGGUGAGUAACACGUGAGUAACCUGCCCUUGACUUUGGGAUAACUUCAGGAAACUGGGGCUAAUACCGGAUAGGAGCUCCUGCUGCAUGGUGGGGGUUGGAAAGUUUCGGCGGUUGGGGAUGGACUCGCGGCUUAUCAGCUUGUUGGUGGGGUAGUGGCUUACCAAGGCUUUGACGGGUAGCCGGCCUGAGAGGGUGACCGGCCACAUUGGGACUGAGAUACGGCCCAGACUCCUACGGGAGGCAGCAGUGGGGAAUAUUGCACAAUGGGCGGAAGCCUGAUGCAGCAACGCCGCGUGCGGGAUGACGGCCUUCGGGUUGUAAACCGCCUUCGCCUGUGACGAAGCGUGAGUGACGGUAAUGGGUAAAGAAGCACCGGCUAACUACGUG
rnacentral:rRNA from 1 species